rnacentral:rRNA from 1 species
AAGAGGUGACAGCGGCAGCGGUGAAACGGGGUGUGGAAUCGUGUUCCGGAGUGUAGGGGCGUAAAGGGCUGGUCGGCGGGUUAGCAAGUCGGGGGGGAAAACAUCAGGCUUAACAUGGAGCGGCCACUCGAUACUGGUAGGGCUAGAGUCCGGGAGGGGACCACGGAAUGCCUGGUGUAGCGGUGAAAUGCGCAGAUAUCAGGAGGAACACCGAUGGCGAAGGCAGUGGUCUGGGCCGGCACUGACGCUGAAUAGCGAAAGCGUGGGGAGCGAACAGGAUUAGAUACCCUGGUAGUC